UACGAGUGCCCUCAAGCGUUAUCCGGAAUCACUGGGCGUAAAGGGUGCGUAGGCGGAAUGAUAAGUCAGUGGUGAAAGCCUGCAGCUUAACUGCAGAACUGCCAUUGAUACUGUCAAUCUUGAGUACAUUUGAUGUGGGCGGAAUGUGUCAUGUAGCGGUGAAAUGCUUAGAUAUGACACAGAACACCGAUUGCGAAGGCAGCUCACAAAACUGUAACUGACGCUGAGGCACGAAAGCGUGGGUAUCAAACAGGAUUAGAAA
rnacentral:rRNA from 1 species